UGGGGAAUCUUAGACAAUGGGUGAAAGCCUGAUCUAGCGAUGCCGCGCGAGUGAAGAAGGCCCUAGGGUCGUAAAGCUCUUUCGCCAGGGAUGAUAAUGACAGUACCUGGUAAAGAAGUCCCGGCUAACUCCGUGC
rnacentral:rRNA from 1 species